rnacentral:lncRNA from 1 species
UGGUAACAAUUGAGUUACAAGUUUCCAAACGAUUUAGUUUUCUGCUACUUUCAUAAAUAAUACAAUUUGACAAAAAAUCGCCAUUUUGUGGGUCCACGAGGCGUAGCACACCAUCUAUUCCUCCCACGGCUAAUAUCGAGAUGUCAUCACGCAUAUGUUGAAUUGAAGAUAUGAUAUUUGGACUCACUCGCGCUUCCCAUAAUUGUUUCAUCAUCCUGAAGAUCCCAAGAAGAAGCUCGCCCUGAUCUUGACCCAGAAAACACUAUAUGUGAACGUGAGUUGUAACACA